AAGAUCCCUCAAAGAUGAUGAGGUUAAUAGGUUCGAGGUGGAAGUGCAGUAAUGUAUGGAGCUGACGAAUACUAAUCGAUCGAAGACUUAAUCAAUUU
rnacentral:rRNA from 1 species